rnacentral:tRNA from 2 species
GGGGAUGUGCUGAAAUUGGUAUACAGGAUGGUCUCAAAAACCAUUGGGCCUAAAAGUCCGUGAGGGUUCAAAUCCCUCCAUCCCCA